AUGCCGCCAGGAGGAGGAGGAGGAGGAGUAGGAGAAGGUGGAGAUGGAGGAGACCACGGGCACAAGGAACCGGCGUCCACCCACGGAGACGGAGACCAAGACCAGGAGGACCCAUCUCGUUCUUCUCUGUUGCCGCCGUCAUCGCUGCCGGGCCUCGCCGUUGUUCCCGUAGAGUCUGAGAAUAAGAAGAGGAAGCACGAGCAGGCCCAGGUGUUCAUCCCGGAGGGCGUCCUCAUGGAGAUCCUGUCGCGGGUGCCCUACCGGUCGCUAUGCCGCUUCAAGUGCGUGUCCAGACCAUGGCUCGCCCUCUGCUCCGACCACGGCGUCCGCAAGAGGUCGCCGCAGACGCUCUCGGGCUUCUUCCAUUUCAACCGCGGCUGGCGCUUCCACAACUAUUUGUCUGGGAAAGGCCCUCCCAUGGUCGACCCCGGCCUCCCUUUCUUGCGCGGCACAUACGGACACUUUGAGGUCGAACAAUGCAGCACCAGCCUUCUCCUCUGCAGAUGCUGGAAAGCGCCCCAUCCUAAGCUACUCGGAUGGAAUUCGUUUCCGAAAGGCAGGGCUGUUGAGCGCUUCAGAUGGGGGGCUGAGGCUGAUCAAUUCGAUUAUGUCGUCUGCAAUCCUGCUACUCAGCAGUGGGCUUUGUUGCCUCCUGUUCCUCCUGUAGAAUUGCACAACCAGAAGCAGGCAGAUGAUGACCUUUUCCGUGCCAUCACAGGCCAUUACUUUUUGGGUUCUGAUCCAGCCGUUCCUUCACGCUUUGUGGUGUUUGUGCCCGUAUUUGGCAUUGGCCUGCCGGUGACAUGGAUCUACUCAUCAGAAACCAGAGGAUGGACUUCCAUCCGGUGCCAGUUGGAUGCUUAUGUUAAUAAUCCACGGUGCUUCUUUCUGAAUGGCACCAUCCUUUAUUUUUGUAACUUUCUUUCAAUAGUCACAGUGAACAUGGAGGGAAAUGUGUGGCGGGAAAUGAAAUUGCCACCUGCCAUGACAAACAUAUAUCUUGGUCCUUCCUUUGGGCAGUCCCAAGGAUGCCUGUAUGCUUGGCGGACGGACGAUUGCCAGCUCUCUGUUUGGGCUCUUGAGAACUAUGAUACUGGACAGUGGACCCUAAGGUGUACUGUUGGCUGCCUUGAACUGUUUGGAAGGGAUUGUCGCAAAGAAAAUGAGGUCUACUGGAUGUUUGCAAUUCAUCCAGAUUGUGAUUUGAUUUUCCUUACUGACGGAAAGGAGAAGACAUUGUCAUACGAUAUGAAUAACAAAAAAGUGCAUGUUAUUUGCGCUUCUGGAGAUUUCCCGGUCUGA
rnacentral:rRNA from 1 species